rnacentral:rRNA from 1 species
UACAGAGGGUGCAAGCGUUAAUCGGAAUUACUGGGCGUAAAGCGUGCGUAGACGGUUGCGUAAGUCAGAUGUGAAAGCCCCGGGCUCAACCUGGGAAUUGCAUUUGAGACUGCGUAGCUAGGGUGCGGAAGAGGGAAGCGGAAUUUCCGGUGUAGCGGUGAAAUGCGCAGAUAUCAGGAAGAACACCCGUGGCGAAGGCGGCUCUCUGGGACGGUACUGACGCUGAGACGCGAAAGCGUGGGGAGCGAACAGG